rnacentral:rRNA from 1 species
AAUGAACGCUGGCGGCAGGCCUAACACAUGCAAGUCGAACGGCAGCACAGAGGAGCUUGCUCCUUGGGUGGCGAGUGGCGGACGGGUGAGGAAUACGUCGGAAUCUGCCUAUUUGUGGGGGAUAACGUAGGGAAACUUACGCUAAUACCGCAUACGACCUUAGGGUGAAAGCGGAGGACCUUCGGGCUUCGCGCAGAUAGAUGAGCCGACGUCGGAUUAGCUAGUUGGCGGGGAAAGGACCACCAAGGCGACGAUCCGUAGCUGGUCUGAGAGGAUGAUCAGCCACACUGGAACUGAGACACGGUCCAGACUCCUACGGGAGGCAGCAGUGGGGAAUAUUGGACAAUGGGCGCAAGCCUGAUCCAGCCAUGCCGCGUGUGUGAAGAAGGCCU